rnacentral:rRNA from 1 species
UUUCUAGUGAAAAAAUACUAGAUAAGCCCUGCCCCACGUAAUUAAGUGGCCGCGGUACAAUAACCGUGCUAAGGUAGCAUAAUCAAUUGUUUAUUAAUUGUAAAAUUGAAUGAAGGGGUAAACAAAAUAAAGACUGUCUCCUAUAAACUAAUAUAAACUAUCCUCUUUAUGAAGAGAUAAAGAUAAAAUUAAAGGACAAGAAGACCCUAUAGAGCUUUUACUUAACCUUAAUUAAUAAGAUAAAGUUUGGUUGGGGCGACCUAAGAUAAUAAAUAACAUCUUUAAUUUAAUAAGAACUACUACUCUAAAUAUUGACCCUAAAAAGAUCAGUGAUUUAAGUUACCUUAGGGAUAACAGGCUGAUUAUUUUUAAGAGCUCUUAUCUAAAAAAUAGAUUGGCACCUCGAUGUUGGCUUAGGAAUACUAAUGCUCGCAAAAGAGCAUAAAGUUGGUUUGUUCAACCAAUAAUAUCCU